rnacentral:rRNA from 1 species
GCGCAGCAGUCGCGAAACCUUUGCAAUACACGAAAGUGUGACAGGGCUAUCCCGGGUGCCAUCCGCUGAGGAAGGCUUUUACCCAGUCUAGAACGCUGGGGGAAUAAGGAGAGGGCAAGUCUGGUGUCAGCCGCCGCGGUAAUACCAGCUCUCCGAGUGGUGUGGAUGUUUAUUGGGCCUAAAGCAUCCGUAGCUGGCUAGGUAAGUCCUUUGUUAAAUCCACCGAAUUAAUCGUUGGAUCGCGGGGGAUACUGCUUGGCUAGGGGACGAGAGAGGCAGACGGUAUUUUCGGGGUAGGGGUGAAAUCCUAUAAUCCCGGGAAGACCACCAGUGGCGAAGGCUGUCUGCUAGAACGCGCCCGACGGUGAGGGAUGAAAGCUGGGGGAGCGAACCGGAUUAGAUACCCGGGUAGUCCCAGCUGUAAACGAUGCAGACUAGGUGUUUGGACGGCCACGUGCCGUUCUAGUGCCGCAGGGAAGCUGUUAAGUCUGCCGCCUGGGGAGUACGAUCGCAAGAUUGAAACUUAAAGGAAUUGGCGGGGGAGCACCACAAGGGGUGAAGCUUGCGGUUUAAUUGGAGUCAACGCCGGG